AGCGAACGCUGGCGGCAGGCUUAACACAUGCAAGUCGAGCGGGCCCUUCGGGGUCAGCGGCGGACGGGUGAGUAAAGCGUGGGAACGUGCCUUCUGGUCUGGAAUAACCCUGGGAAACUAGGGCUAAUACCGGAUACGCCCUUUUGGGGAAAGGUUUACUGCCGGAAGAUCGGCCCGCGUCUGAUUAGCUAGUUGGUGGGGUAACGGCCUACCAAGGCGAGGAUCAGUAGCUGGUCUGAGAGGAUGAUCAGCCACACUGGGACUGAGACACGGCCCAGACUCCUACGGGAGGCAGCAGUGGGGAAUAUUGGACAAUGGGCGCAAUCCUGAUCCAGCCAUGCCGCGUGAGUGAUGAAGGCCUUAGGGUUGUAAAGCUCUUUUAUCCGGGACGAUAAUGACGGUACCGGAGGAAUAAGCCCCGGCUAACUUCGUG
rnacentral:rRNA from 1 species